rnacentral:lncRNA from 1 species
CACACGUCUUUGGCAUCAGGAUGUCUUUCCUUCACUGCUGUUCCCUUUCCCUCAUUACCAUGGGCUCCUGCAGAACUGCUAUAGCUUGGUUUCUAUUGUUGCAAUCAAGCCAACUUGGGCAGGACAGGGUUUCUGGGCUUUUACAGGCUACAGUGUAUCAAGAGAAGCCAAGGCAGGAACUUAAGACAGAAUUACAGACAGGAACCGAGGCAGAGAGCACUUGCUUAUGGGCUUUCUCUCCAUGGCUUGCUCAGCUUGCUUUCUUAUACAACCCUGAACCGCCUGCCCACGGAGCUGGACUGUCUCACAUCAAUUAUAAAUCAAGAAAACGGCCCACAGACAUGCCGCGGCAGACCAAUCUGAUGGAGACUGCUUCACACUUGAGGUGGCUCUCCCUUCCCAGGUGAUUCUAGUUUGGAACAAAAAACGAACCAGUGCAAAGGUACACUUCUACCCUGGGAAUCCCAAAACAUAAGCUAGAUCCCCAUCCGGGGAGUGGUAACACACGCCUUUAAUUGCAGCACUCGGGAGGCAGAGGCAACAGAGCUCUGAGUUCAAGGCCAGCCAGGGCACCACACAGAAACCCUGUAUCACAACAACAACAAUAAUAUCAAAAUCCCCAGAAAACUGGGCUGGUGGGGUGACUUGGUGUGCAAGGGUACCUUCCACUACUCAGCCUGACAACCUGAGUUCAAAGAGAAGCAACUCCUAAAAGUUGCCCUCUGGCUUCGGCAUUGUUCUCUUACCCUCCCCA